AGAGUUUGAUCCUGGCUCAGAUUGAACGCUGGCGGCAUGCCUUACACAUGCAAGUCGAACGGCAGCACGGGAGCAAUCCUGGUGGCGAGUGGCGAACGGGUGAGUAAUAUAUCGGAACGUACCUUUCAGUGGGGGAUAACGUAGCGAAAGUUACGCUAAUACCGCAUAUUCUGUGAGCAGGAAAGCAGGGGACCUUCGGGCCUUGCGCUGAUUGAGCGGCCGAUAUCAGAUUAGCUAGUUGGUGAGGUAAAGGCUCACCAAGGCGACGAUCUGUAGCGGGUCUGAGAGGAUGAUCCGCCACACUGGAACUAAGACACGGCCCAGACUCCUACGGGAGGCAGCAGUGGGGAAUUUUGGACAAUGGGCGCAAGCCUGAUCCAGCCAUGCCGCGUGAGUGAAGAAGGCCUUCGGGUUGUAAAGCUCUUUCAGGCGGAAAGAAAUCGCACUUAUUAAUACUAAGUGCGGAUGACGGUACCGUCAGAAGAAGCACCGGCUAACUACGUGCCAGCAGCCGCGGUAA
rnacentral:rRNA from 1 species